rnacentral:tRNA from 1 species
GGCCGAGUGGCGGAAUUGGCAGACGCGCCGGAUUCAAAAUCCGGUGUCCUUUGGACGUACCGGUUCGAGUCCGGUCUCGGCUA